rnacentral:rRNA from 1 species
UACGGAGGAUCCGAGCGUUAUCCGGAUUUAUUGGGUUUAAAGGGUGCGUAGGCGGAAAUGUAAGUCAGUGGUGAAAUCCUGCAGCUUAACUGCAGAACUGCCGUUGAUACUGAUAGUCUUGAGUUUGGUUAAGGUAGGCGGAAUGUGUAAUGUAGCGGUGAAAUGCUUAGAUAUUACACAGAACACCAAUUGCGUAGGCAGCUUACUGAGCCGACACUGACGCUGAGGCACGAAAGCGUGGGGAUCAAACAGGAUUAGA